rnacentral:rRNA from 1 species
GACAGAGGGUGCAAACGUUGUUCGGAUUUACUGGGCGUAAAGCGCGUGUAGGCGGCUUCGCAAGUUGGAUGUGAAAUCCCACGGCUCAACCGUGGACGUGCAUCCAAAACUGCGUCGCUGGAGUCUCGGAGAGGAAGGUGGAAUGCUUGGUGUAGAGGUGAAAUUCGUAGAUAUCAAGCAGAACACCUGCGGCGAAGGCGGCCUUCUGGACGGUGACUGACGCUGAGACGCGAAAGCGUGGGGAGCAAACAGG